CCUACGGGUGACAGCAGUGGGGAAUAUUUGGCAAUGGGCGCAAGCCUGACCCAGCAACGCCGCGUGAAGGAAGACGGCUUUCGGGUUGUAAACUUCUUUUAUUAAGGACGAAACAAGUGACGGUACUCCAUUCAUAAGCCACGUCUAACUACGUGCCAGCAGCCGCGGUACUACGUAGGUGGCAAGCGUUAUCCGGAUUUACUGGGUGUACAGGGCGUGUAGGCGGGAAGGCAAGUCAGAUGUGAAAACCAUGGGCUCAACCCAUGGACUGCAUUUGAAACUGUAGUUCUUGAGUGCUGGAGAGGCAGGCGGAAUUCCGGGUGUAGCGGUGAAAUGCGUAGAUAUUAGGAGGAACACCAGUGGCGAAGGCGGCCUGCUGGACAGUAACUGACGCUGAGGCGCGAAAGCGUGGGGAGCAAACAGGAUUAGAUACCCGUGUAGUC
rnacentral:rRNA from 1 species